UCCCAGUUCGGAUCGCAGGCUGCAACCCGCCUGCGUGAAGUCGGAAUCGCUAGUAAUCGCGGAUCAGCAUGCCGCGGUGAAUACGUUCCCGGGCCUUGUACACACCGCCCGUCACACCAUGAGAGUCGGGAACACCCGAAGCCCGUAGCCUAACAGCAAUGAGGGCGCGGUCGAAGGUGGGUUCGAUAAUUGGGGUGAAGUCGUAACAAGGUAGC
rnacentral:rRNA from 1 species